rnacentral:rRNA from 1 species
AUUGAACGCUGGCGGCAGGCCUAACACAUGCAAGUCGAGCGGAUGAAGGGAGCUUGCUCCUGGAUUCAGCGGCGGACGGGUGAGUAAUGCCUAGGAAUCUGCCUGGUCGUGGGGGAUAACGUCCUGAAACGGGCGCUAAUACCGCAUACGUCCUGAGGGAGAAAGUGGGGGAUCUUCGGACCUCCCGCUAUCUGAUGAGCCUAGGUCGGAUUAGCUAGUUGGUGGGGUAAAGGCCUACCAAGGCGACGAUCCGUAACUGGUCUGAGAGGAUGAUCAGUCACACUGGAACUGAGACACGGUCCAGACUCCUACGGGAGGCAGCAGUGGGGAAUAUUGGACAAUGGGCGAAAGCCUGAUCCAGCCAUGCCGCGUGUGUGAAGAAGGUCUUCGGAUUGUAAAGCACUUUAAGUUGGGAGGAAGGGCAGUAAGUUAAUACCUUGCUGUUUUGACGUUACCAACAGAAUAAGCACCGGCUAACUUCGUG